AGUGAACGCUGGCGGUAGGCCUAACACAUGCAAGUCGAACGGCAGCACAGUAAGAGCUUGCUCUUACGGGUGGCGAGUGGCGGACGGGUGAGGAAUACAUCGGAAUCUACUUUUUCGUGGGGGAUAACGUAGGGAAACUUACGCUAAUACCGCAUACGACCUACGGGUGAAGGCAGGGGAUCUUCGGACCUUGCGCGAUUGAAUGAGCCGAUGUCGGAUUAGCUAGUUGGCGGGGUAAAGGCCCACCAAGGCGACGAUCCGUAGCUGGUCUGAGAGGAUGAUCAGCCACACUGGAACUGAGACACGGUCCGGACUCCUACGGGAGGCAGCAGUGGGGAAUAUUGGACAAUGGGCGCAAGCCUGAUCCAGCCAUACCGCGUGGGUGAAGAAGGCCUUCGGGUUGUAAAGCCCUUUUGUUGGGAAAGAAAAGCAGCAGGUUAAUACCCCGCUGUUCUGACGGUACCCAAAGAAUAAGCACCGGCUAACUUCGUG
rnacentral:rRNA from 1 species